rnacentral:rRNA from 1 species
UACAGAGGUCUCAAGCGUUGUUCGGAUUCAUUGGGCGUAAAGGGUGCGUAGGUGGCGUGGUAAGUCGGGUGUGAAAUUUCGGAGCUUAACUCCGAAACUGCAUUCGAUACUGCGGUGCUUGAGGACUGGAGAGGAGACUGGAAUUCCUGGUGUAGCGGUGAAAUGCGCAGAUAUCAGGAGGAACACCGGUGGCGAAGGCGGGGUCUCUGGGGCCGAUACUGACGCUGAGGAGCGAAAGCGUGGGGAGCGAACGGG